rnacentral:rRNA from 1 species
GAUGAACGCUGGCGGCGUGCUUAACACAUGCAAGUCGAACGAUUAAAGCCCCUUCGGGGGUGUAUAGAGUGGCGAACGGGUGAGUAACACGUGGGCAACCUGCCCCUCACAUCGGGAUAACUCAGGGAAACCUGAGCUAAUACCGAAUACUCCGGGAUGGUCGCAGGGCUGGCCCGGGAAAGCUCCGACGGUGAGGGAUGGGCCCGCGGCCCAUUAGCUAGUUGGUGGGGUAACGGCUCACCAGGGCGACGAUGGGUAGCCGAGCUGAGAGGCUGAUCGGCCACACUGGGACUGAGACACGGCCCAGACUCCUACGGGAGGCAGCAGUGGGGAAUCUUGCGCAAUGGGCGAAAGCCUGACGCAGCAGCGCCGCGUGCGGGAUGAAGGCCUUCGGGUUGUAAACCACUUUCAGCAGGGACGAAUCUGACUGUACCUGCAGAAGAAGCCCCGGCUAACUACGUGCCAGCAGCCGCAGUAACAC